GAUUCACAUGGAUUGUGAUAUACAUUUACUCUCACUUUCAAAUGCAUUUUCCGAUUCAUCUUUCAGUUAUGAGAAUCAUUUCUGAUAUGGUAUAGCUGUUUUGGUGUGAGUCUCAUAUUCCAUUUCAUAUUUUAGAUCCAUUUGUGUACAUGAUUAGUCUCAUAUUGAUUUUCAUUUUCAGUUACAAAUUUCAGAUGUCGUUUGCACUGCUAUAUGUCUUUGGUUCUCUAAUUUCUGGUGGAACGAGAUUCAGACUUAUGGGCCAGCUUGAAUUGGAUUACGUCUUUAGCAUUAGUUUCAAGUUCAGAUUCAUUGGCAGUUGUAGAUUUCAUAUACAGUCUGAUUUUUGAGGGAUGUUUCUUUUCAUGUUUCGGUUUCAUUUUAUGUUUCAUGUUCAGAUUCACUUGAAUUGUUAUAUACAUGUACUCUCAUUCUGAAAAUCUUAUUUCAGUUUCAAAUCGUCAAAUAUGCGAUUCAUUUUACAUAAGUUUUUGCUUUUUUGUUUCAUGUUACAAUCUCUUAUUUAGUCUUAUAUUUGAGAUCCUGUCCUAACUUCUGUAUAUGUUUACUCUUACUCUUACAUUCAGUUUCAGUUGGGAGCUUUAUAAACAUGUCUGCAAUAUUAUGCAUUUUUUGCUUUCAGAUGUCAGUAUCAGAUUCAGAAACAUGAUUUUAGAUCCUAUCAGAUAUACUUCAAGAAUUUUGGCUUAGUUUCAAAUUCAGUUUCAGUUUCACUUUCAGAUUCCCUAUAUCCUGUGAACUUCUGUGGUUGUUAAUUUCCAUGUUUCAGUUUAAUUUUCAGUUUCAUCUUUCAUGUUCACCUGCCAAUGGUGAUAUACAGUUAGUCUCAAUGUUGAUAAUCAUAUUUAGUUUUAUUGUUUACUUUCAUGUUACAUUUUCUUGUUCAGAUUGUACACUGAGAUCCUGCUCCAGAGUAUAGGAUCUGUUUAGUUUUAGUCUCUCAUUCAGUUUCAGAUGCAGCUUUGUAAAUAUGUUUGCACUGUUAUAUAUUCUUUUUUACAAGUUUCAAUAUCAGAUUCAAAAUAUUGAUUUUUAUCUCCUGCUUGAAAUUCUUCAAGUGUUUAGCCUUACUUUAAAAUUCAGUUUCAGUUUCAUUUUCGGAUUCCUGCUACCCUGUGAACAUCUAUGGCUGUUAACUAUUAUGUUUCGCAUUCAUUUUCAGUUUCAUGUUUCAAGUUGACUUGAAUUGUGACAUACAGUUAGUCUUAAUUUUCAAAUUCAUUUUCAGAUUCAUCGUUCAGUUAUGAGAAUCAUUUUUUAUAUGGUAUAGCUGUUCUGUUUCAUGUUUCAUAUACCGUUUCAGAUUUGAGAUCAACUUGUGUACACGAAUAGUCCCAUUUUGAUGUUCAUUCACUGGAUUACAUAGCAAAUGUUGUUUGCAAUGCUAUAUACUUUUGGUUUAGGAAUUCAUAUUCAAAUUGAGAUCUAGACUUGUGAAUCUCAGGUGGAACUGCUUUAUGUCUUCAGAAAUAGUUUCUAGAGGAAAGAUUCAAAUGUAUGUUUUAGAUUUCAUAUACAGUCAAAAUUUUUAUAACUGUUUAUUUUUAGACUGAUUUUCAGUUUCAGUUUCAUAAUUCAUAUGUCAGGAUUGAACUACUAUAUAUGCUUACGUUCAGUUUCAUUUUCGGUUUCACUUUCAAAUGUCAGAUCUCAGUAUUGAACUGAUAUAUAUGUUUACAAUCUGUUUCAUUUUCGGUUUCAGUUUCCUAUUUCAUAUAUUAGUAUUGAACUGCUAUAUAUGUUUACAGUCUGUUUCAUUUUCGGUUUCAAUUUCAUAUUUCAGUAUCAUAUUUCAAAACUCAUUUUUAGCUUAGAGCUGGUUUAUAGAAUCUGAAACUGAAACUGAUAAGACACGUUCAGUCUCAUUUUCAGAUUCAUCUUUCAGAUUCACUUGAAUUGUGAUAUACAUGUAUUCGUAGAUUGUUAAUUCAAAUUUUUUAUUUUACAUUUGGGAGUUCAGGUUACGAGAUCUACUACCUAGAUUUUCAGAAAUUCAUCGCACAUGACCUACCUACAAUUGAUAUCUAGAUGGCAAAAGAGAAGUACUACGUGGUUCUCGUUGGCUGUCGAUCGGGAAUUUACCUGACAUGGGACGAAGCUAGGCUCGAGGUCGAGGGAUUCAGUGGAUCGAGAUAUCGGGCAUUCAAGAAUUAGAGGGAGGCGGUUUCCUGCUGGGAGAGUUACUUCAGUGGAAGGAGUGCACAGUUGUGGCUUGACACCGGACUUUUGGCGAUUUAAGUCGUUGCACAUUCAGACGAGGUUGACAUCCUUUGUUCGUCAACUUCGUCUAUCCAUCAGACGACCGUGGCCAUGGUUUCUAGGGCCACGACGACUGAUGAUUUGAUCCCAUCAUAUGGGGAGAGUGUUAUUGGACUUUUGAUUGCCAUUCUCGUUAUUUUCUUUGCGCUACUUAUCAUUAUUAAAUUCUAGUUGUAGAGGAUGUGUAAGUGAAAGAAUCCUUUAGAUUUUCCUUUUUUU